rnacentral:rRNA from 1 species
UACGUAGGGGGCAAGCGUUGUUCGGAAUUACUGGGCGUAAAGGGCGCGUAGGCGGCACGGCAAGUCGGGAGUGAAAGGCCUGGGCUCAACCGAGGAACGGCUUUCGAGACUGCCGAGCUAGAGUGCGGAAGGGGCAACUGGAAUUCCCAGUGUAGCGGUGAAAUGCGUAGAUAUUGGGAAGAACACCUGAGGCGAAGGCGGGUUGCUGGGCCGACACUGACGCUGAUGCGCGAAAGCCAGGGGAGCAAACGGG